GGUGAGUAACACGUAGGCAACCUGCCUGUAAGACUGGGAUAACAUAGGGAAACUUAUGCUAAUACCGGAUAGGGUUUUGCUUCGCAUGAAGCGAAACGGAAAGAUGGCGCAAGCUAUCACUUGCAGAUGGGCCUGCGGCGCAUUAGCUAGUUGGUGAGGUAAAGGCUCACCAAGGCGACGAUGCGUAGCCGACCUGAGAGGGUGACCGGCCACACUGGGACUGAGACACGGCCCAGACUCCUACGGGAGGCAGCAGUAGGGAAUUUUCCACAAUGGACGAAAGUCUGAUGGAGCAACGCCGCGUGAACGAUGAAGGCUUUCGGGUCGUAAAGUUCUGUUGUUAGGGAAGAAACAGUGCCAUUUAAAUAAGAUGGCGCCUUGACGGUACCUAACGAGAAAGCCACGGCUAACUACGUGCCAGCAGCCGCGGUAAUACGUAGGUGGCAAGCGUUGUCCGGAAUUAUUGGGCGUAAAGCGCGCGCAGGUGGCUAUGUAAGUCUGAUGUUAAAGCCCGGGGCUCAACCUCGGUUCGCAUUGGAAACUGCGUAGCUUGAGUGCAGGAGAGGAAAGUGGUAUUCCACGUGUAGCGGUGAAAUGCGUAGAGAUGUGGAGGAACACCAGUGGCGAAGGCGACUUUCUGGCCUGUAA
rnacentral:rRNA from 1 species